rnacentral:rRNA from 1 species
AUUGAACGCUGGCGGCAUGCCUUACACAUGCAAGUCGAACGGCAGCACGGGAGCAAUCCUGGUGGCGAGUGGCGAACGGGUGAGUAAAGUAUCGGAACGUGCCCAGUCGUGGGGGAUAACGUAGCGAAAGUUACGCUAAUACCGCAUACGAUCUAUGGAUGAAAGCGGGGGAUCGCAAGACCUCGCGCGAUUGGAGCGGCCGAUAUCGGAUUAGGUAGUUGGCGGGGUAAAGGCUCACCAAGCCGACGAUCUGUAGCUGGUCUGAGAGGACGACCAGCCACACGGGGACUGAGACACGGCCCAGACUCCUACGGGAGGCAGCAGUGGGGAAUUUUGGACAAUGGGCGAAAGCCUGAUCCAGCCAUGCCGCGUGCAGGAUGAAGGCCUUAGGGUUGUAAACUGCUUUUGUACGGAACGAAAAGGUUUGGCCUAAUAAGCUGAGCUCAUGACGGUACCGUAAGAAUAAGCACCGGCUAACUACGUGCCAGCCGCCGCGGUAA